rnacentral:rRNA from 1 species
UAGAGUUUGAUUCUGGCUCAGAUUGAACGCUGGCGGCAGGCCUAACACAUGCAAGUCGAACGGUAACAGGAAGCAGCUUGCUGCUUCGCUGACGAGUGGCGGACGGGUGAGUAAUGUCUGGGAAACUGCCUGAUGGAGGGGGAUAACUACUGGAAACGGUAGCUAAUACCGCAUAACGUCGCAAGACCAAAGAGGGGGACCUUAGGGCCUCUUGCCAUCGGAUGUGCCCAGAUGGGAUUAGCUAGUAGGUGGGGUAACGGCUCACCUAGGCGACGAUCCCUAGCUGGUCUGAGAGGAUGACCAGCCACACUGGAACUGAGACACGGUCCAGACUCCUACGGGAGGCAGCAGUGGGGAAUAUUGCACAAUGGGCGCAAGCCUGAUGCAGCCAUGCCGCGUGUAUGAAGAAGGCCUUCGGGUUGUAAAGUACUUUCAGCGGGGAGGAAGGGAGUAAAGUUAAUACCUUUGCUCAUUGACGUUACCCGCAGAAGAAGCACCGGCUAACUCCGUGCCAGCAGCCGCGGUAAU